rnacentral:lncRNA from 1 species
UUCAAUCUGAGAUUAAACACGUGCAUAUUUAGAAAUGGUGCGUGUGUGUGCGCAUCGUUUGUGAGUCGACACAGAUUGCGUCAGAGCUUUUGGGGGGUACUCGGGGUUAAUUAGUUGUAUGGUGCACUUUGUAGGCUUCUCCAGAUCGGUUUAGCACAGUACUGUCGGCCAGCCUGACCUGCACCCAUGGGAGAACAGUGUCUCUGGAGCUGCUCGGUCCUGGAUUUUUCACUGCUCUGUUUCCUCAGCUGGAAAUUUCACCGUUGCUGGCUGCGUCUUGCUGGUCGGAACCGGUACUGCUGCUCCAGACGAGCCGGCCCAAGCGAAGGCACGACACCCCGCUGCCCCCCGGUGUCUGGCUGGCAGCUCUCGCCCCUGCCGCCCGCCGAGAUCGCGGAUGACUCAUUCCGAGGACUCGUCCGCCGGGGCCAGAAAAACUCUCCGCGCAGGCGAAAUAAAACCGCACUUCCCUCUCUCUCACGCCACCGCCCCGACCUCUUCAGCGGGGUCAGGGGGCGACGGGCCGGGAGGUUGAGGUGACUGGGACGCAAGAGGCACUGCAACACUGUUCUCUCUUUCCAGAAACCCCACAGGUCGCCUCUCCAACGACUGAACUUCCGCCAGAAGCAGGCGCGGGCGAGGAGCCGGGCCCCGCCGGCCGGACCGAACAGGGACUGCGGCCCCCUGGACCGGACCGGAUCGGUUCCAUCGGCGAUGUCAUUCUCCAGGAUUUUAUUGGAAUAAACACGGGAUUGCAAACAAAUCCC